GGCACAAACGUGAAGUAGAGUAGUUGGGUGUCGUCAGCUGAUCCUACCAAUCUACUCUACUUCAAGUUUGUGUUC
rnacentral:pre_miRNA from 1 species